rnacentral:rRNA from 1 species
UAAGGAAUAUUGGUCAAUGCCCGGAAGGGUGAACCAGCCAUCCCGCGUGAAGGAUGAAGGGGCUCUGCCUUGUAAACUUCUUUUGAAUGGGACGAAAAAGCCUCACUUGUGAGGAACUGACGGUACCAUUAGAAUAAGCACCGGCUAACUCCGUGCCAGCAGCCGCGGUAAUACGGAGGGUGCGAGCGUUAUCCGGAAUCACUGGGUUUAAAGGGUGCGUAGGCGGCUGUAUAAGUCAGUGGUGAAAGGCUGUGGCUUAACCAUGGGAUUGCCAUUGAUACUGUACGGCUUGAAUUAGGAUGAGGUUGGCGGAAUGUGACAUGUAGCGGUGAAAUGCUUAGAUAUGUCAUGGAACAUCGAUUGCGAAGGCAGUUGACUGGACCUUAAUUGACGCUGAGGCACGAAAGCGUGGGGAGCGAACAGGAUUAGAUACCCCCGUAGUCCCUGAGCGGGCUGGCAAGGCGCAU